rnacentral:rRNA from 1 species
ACGCACGCUGGCGGCGUGCUUAACCCCUGCCAGUCGAACGGGCCCGCUCUCUUUUUUGGGGGUGGGUUGAGUGGCGAACGGGUGAGUAUCACGUGAGUAACCUGCCCCCUGCUCCUGGAUAACUGCUUGAAAGGGCGGCUAAUACGGGGUGUGCCGGCUGGUCCGCAUGGGCCUGGUCGGGAUAGUUUCAUCUUCGGGUGUUUCGGUGGGGGAUGGGCUCGCGGCCUAUCAGCUUGUUGGUGGGGUGAUGGCCCACCAAGGCGGUGACGGGUAGCCGGCCUGAGAGGGUGGGCGGCCAGACUGGGACUGAGACACGGCCCAGACGCCUGCGGGAGGCAGCAGUGGGGGGUAUUGCACAAUGGGCGGAAGCCUGAGGCAGCGACGUCGCGUGAGGGAUGGAGGCCUUCGGGUGGGGAACCUCUUUCUCCGGUGGGGAAGGCCCUGUCCGUUGCGGCGGGGUUGACGGUAGCCGGGUAUGAAGCGCCGGCUAACUACGUG